GGCUGGUCUGAAGGCAGUAUCUCACUUGAUUGUUCAGUCAGUUACAGACUGAACUCCUCGUUCUUCUCUUUUCCCCCUUCUUAGACUGCACUUAACUAGUCUUAA
ensembl:misc_RNA Y_RNA Y RNA